UGCCAAUGAUAUAUACCUUUUUGGAACUGAAUCUUAAGUGAUUUAACAAAAAUUCGUCACUACCAGUGAGACA
rnacentral:snoRNA from 1 species